rnacentral:lncRNA from 1 species
GUUAGGUACUAUGUGAACACGUGUGCACUUGGUGUGGUUCCACCCACUUUAAAACAUGGUUCACUGCUUGUGUAUUACAUGAUGUCUCAUGUUGUUCUGUGUGCAUGUAGCAUCUAUGCCUCUGAACCAUGUAUGUUGUGUGUGCAUAUAUGGUGUACAUAUGUUGGUAUUCUGGCUUCAGAUAGCUCUGCACAAUCCUCCCGUGUGCAAGUGGCCAUCCAGACCCUGGAUGAAAAUGACAAUGCUCCCCAACUGGCCGAGCCCUAUGACAUUUUUGUGUGUGAUUCUGCAGCCCCCGGCCAGUUGAUUCAGGUCAUCCGGGCUCUAGACAAAGACGAAGUUGGCAACAGUAGCCAAGUCUCCCUUCAAGGUCCUGUGGGCCCUGAUGCUAACUUUACAGUCCGGGACAACCGAGAUGGCUCUGCCAGCCUGCUGCUGCCUUCCCGCCCUGCUCCACCCCGUCAGGCCCCCUACUUGGUUCCUAUAGAACUUUGGGAUUGGGGACAGCCAGCUCUGAGCAGCACUGCCACGGUGACUAUCAGUGUGUGUCGCUGCCGUCCCGAUGGCUCCAUGGCAUCCUGCUGGCCUGAGGCUCAGCUGUCACCCACCGGCCUCAGCACUGGUGCCCUGCUUGCCAUUGUCACCUGUAUGGGCACCCUACUUGGUGAGUCUGGCCACAGUGAGAUGAGGUGUGCUAGGCCUGUUCUGUGUGGAGGGAGAAAGCAUGUCUAGACAUAGGGCAUGAAUGACCAACUCCCUCCGGUCUGGAUUUCCUACUACCGGACAGGUCCAAGAGAAAACAUCUGGUCUCAUACAGUGGACCUGCCAUUCCGUGAUCGUAACUAGCCUUAUA